GCCUGACUGGCUCAGUUGGUAGAGCAUGAAACUUUUGAUCUUGUGGUCAUGAGUUCAAGCCCCACGUUGGGUA